rnacentral:rRNA from 1 species
UACGAGGGGGGGCGAGCGUUUGUUCGGAAUUAUUGGGCGUAAAGGGUGCGUAGGCGGUUUGGUAAGUCUUAUGUGAAAUCUACAGGCUCAACUUGUAGUCUGCAUGAGAAACUGCCGGGCUUUGAGUGUGGGAGAGGUGAGUGGAAUUCCUGGUGUAGCGGUGAAAUGCGUAGAUAUCAGGAGGAACACCUGUGGCGAAAGCGGCUCACUGGACCAUAACUGACGCUGAUGCACGAAAAGCGUGGGGUAGCAAACAGG